GACGAACGCUGACGGUGUGCUUUAGACAUGCAAGUCGAACGAGAAAGCCCUUCGGGGUUAGUAAAGUGGCGAACGGGUGAGUAACACGUGGGCAAUCUGCCCCUCGCAGGGGGACAACCGGAGGAAACUCCGGCUAAUACCCCGUAAGUUCAAAGGGAGGCAUCUCUCUUCGAAGAAAGGUAGCUUCGGCCAUCCGGCGAGGGAUGAGCCCGCGGUGCAUUAGCUAGUUGGUGGGGUAACGGCCUACCAAGGCGACGAUGCAUAGCUGGUCUGAGAGGAUGAUCAGCCACACUGGGACUGAGACACGGCCCAGACUCCUACGAGAGGCAGCAGUCGGGAAUCUUGCGCAAUGGGCGAAAGCCUGACGCAGCAACACCGUGUGUGUGAGGAAGGCC
rnacentral:rRNA from 1 species